rnacentral:rRNA from 1 species
AGUGAACGCUGGCGGUGGGCCUAACACAUGCAAGUCGAACGGCAGCACAGUAAGAGCUUGCUCUUACGGGUGGCGAGUGGCGGACGGGUGAGGAAUACAUCGGAAUCUACUUUUUCGUGGGGGAUAACGUAGGAAAACUUACGCUAAUACCGCAUACGACCUACGGGUGAAAGCAGGGGAUCUUCGGACCUUGCGCGAUUGAAUGAGCCGAUGUCGGAUUAGCUAGUUGGCGGGGUAAAGGCCCACCAAGGCGACGAUCCGUAGCUGGUCUGAGAGGAUGAUCAGCCACACUGGAACUGAGACACGGUCCAGACUCCUACGGGAGGCAGCAGUGGGGAAUAUUGGACAAUGGGCGCAAGCCUGAUCCAGCCAUACCGCGUGGGUGAAGAAGGCCUUCGGGUUGUAAAGCCCUUUUGUUGGGAAAGAAAAGCAGCAGGUUAAUACCCCGCUGUUCUGACGGUACCCAAAGAAUAAGCACCGGCUAACUUCGUG